AUGUACAUUCCUACAACAUGAAUGUAUCAUAUCCCAUCAGAAAUAUAUAGCUAAUAAUGCUUCGACUAGAGUAGAACUGGAAUGGGUGACCUCCUGGGAAGUCCUAGUGUUUUACAUG
rnacentral:rRNA from 1 species